rnacentral:rRNA from 1 species
CGAGUUUGAUCCUGGCUACAGAACGAACGCUGGCGGCAUGCCUAACACAUGCAAGUCGAACGAGACCUUCGGGUCUAGUGGCGCACGGGUGCGUAACACGUGGGAAUUUGCCUCGGGGUAUGGAAUAACUCAGGGAAACUUGAGCUAAUACCAUAUAAUGUCUUCGGACCAAAGAUUUAUCGCCCUGAGAUAAGCCCGCGUAGGAUUAGCUAGUUGGUGAGGUAAAGGCUCACCAAGGCGACGAUCCUUAGCUGGUCUGAGAGGAUGAUCAGCCACACUGGGACUGAGACACGGCCCCAGACUCCUACGGGAGGCAGCAGUGGGGGAAUAUUGGACAAUGGGCGAAAGCCUGAUCCAGCAAUGCCGCGUGAGUGAUGAAGGCCUUAGGGUUGUAAAGCUCUUUUACCCGGGAAGAUAAUGACUGUACCGGGAGAAUAAGCCCCGGCUAACUCCGUG